rnacentral:tRNA from 1 species
GCGUUCGUGGGCGCCGGGUACGGGCGCCUCCAUCUGUUGGAUGGCGCGGAUCUGCGGAUAGGUUCGGUUCAACUCCUCGCGGAUGUU